rnacentral:tRNA from 1 species
GUCAUCUACGAGGGGCUUGCACUUCACUCGUAAUGAAGGGGUCAAGGGUUCGAUUCCCUUAGGCGGCUCCA